rnacentral:rRNA from 1 species
CCUACGGGAGGCAGCAGUGGGGAAUAUUGCACAAUGGGGGAAACCCUGAUGCAGCAACGCCGCGUGAAGGAAGACGGUUUUCGGAUUGUAAACUUCUUUUCUUAGUGAAGAAUAAUGACGGUAGCUAAGGAGCAAGCCACGGCUAACUACGUGCCAGCCGCCGCGGUAAUACGGAGGUGGCAAGCGUUUUCCGGAAUUACUGGGUGUAAAGGGCUGGUAGGCGGGACUGCAAGUCAGGUGUGAAAACCAUGGGCUCAACCUAUGGCCUGCAUUUGAAACUGUAGUUUUUGAGUACUGGAGAGGCAGACGGAAUUCCUGGUGUAGCGGUGAAAUGCGUAGAUAUUAGGAGGAACACCAGUGGCGAAGGCGGUCUGCUGGACAGCAACUGACGCUGAGGCGCGAAAGCGUGGGGAGCAAACAGGAUUAGAUACCCUAGUAGUC